UACGGGGGAGCAAGCGUUGUUCGGAUUUACUGGGCGUAAAGGGCGCGUAGGCGGCCUCCGCAAGUCAGUUGUGAAAUCUCCGAGCUUAACUCGGAAAGGUCAACUGAUACUGCGGGGCUAGAGUCCGGAAGAGGGCGAGUGGAAACUCCUGGUGUAGCGGUGGAAAUGCGCAGAUAUCAGGAAGAACACCAAUUGCGAAGGCAGCUUGCUACACUACUAUUGACACUGAGGCACGAAAGCGUGGGGAUCAAACAGG
rnacentral:rRNA from 1 species